rnacentral:rRNA from 1 species
UUUAUGGAGAGUUUGAUCCUGGCUCAGGAUGAACGCUGGCGGCGUGCCUAAUACAUGCAAGUCGAGCAAACGGACGAGAAGCUUGCUUCUCUGAUGUUAGCGGCGGACGGGUGAGUAACACGUGGAUAACCUACCUAUAAGACUGGGAUAACUUCGGGAAACCGGAGCUAAUACCGGAUGAUAUUUUGAACCGCAUGGUUCAAAAGUGAAAGACGGUCUUGCUGUCACUUAUAGAUGGAUCCGCGCUGCAUUAGCUAGUUGGUAAGGUAACGGCUUACCAAGGCAACGAUGCAUAGCCGACCUGAGAGGGUGAUCGGCCACACUGGAACUGAGACACGGUCCAGACUCCUACGGGAGGCAGCAGUAGGGAAUCUUCCGCAAUGGGCGAAAGCCUGACGGAGCAACGCCGCGUGAGUGAUGAAGGUCUUCGGAUCGUAAAACUCUGUUAUUAGGGAAGAACAUAUGUGUAAGUAACUGUGCACAUCUUGACGGUACCUAAUCAGAAAGCCACGGCUAACUACGUGCCAGCAGCCGCGGUAAUACGUAGGUGGCAAGCGUUAUCCGGAAUUAUUGGGCGUAAAGCGCGCGUAGGCGGUUUUUUAAGUCUGAUGUGAAAGCCCACGGCUCAACCGUGGAGGGUCAUUGGAAACUGGAAAACUUGAGUGCAGAAGAGGAAAGUGGAAUUC